rnacentral:tRNA from 1 species
GGGCGGUUAGCUCAGCGGUAGAGCACUGCUUUCACACGGCAGGGGCCGCAGGUUCGAUCCCUGCACCGCCCACCA